rnacentral:rRNA from 1 species
CGACCGUACCCUAAACCGACACAGGUGGACAGGUAGAGUAUACUAAGGCGCUUGAGAGAACGAUGCUGAAGGAACUCGGCAAAUUGCCCUCGUAACUUCGGGAGAAGAGGGCCCCGUUUCUAGGCAACUAGAGGCGGGGGGCACAGACCAGGGGGUAGCGACUGUUUAGCAAAAACAUAGGGCUCUGCGAAGCUGCAAAGCGACGUAUAGGGUCUGACGCCUGCCCGGUGCUGGAAGGUUAAGAGGAGGUGUGAGAGCUCCGAAUCGAAGCCCCAGUAAACGGCGGCCGUAACUAUAACGGUCCUAAGGUAGCGAAAUUCCUUGUCGGGGAAG